UGGGGAAUAUUGCACAAUGGGGGAAACCCUGAUGCAGCGACGCCGCGUGAACGAAGAAGGUAUUCGUAUCGUAAAGUUCUGUCCUAUGGGAAGAUAAUGACAGUACCAUAGAAGAAAGCUCCGGCUAAAUACGUGCCAGCAGCCGCGGUAAUACGUAUGGAGCGAGCGUUGUCCGGAAUUAUUGGGCGUAAAGGGUACGCAGGCGGUUUAAUAAGUCGAAUGUUAAAGAUCGGGGCUCAACCCCGCAAAGCAUUGGAAACUGAUAAACUUGAGUAGUGGAGAGGAAAGUGGAAUUCCUAGUGUAGUGGUGAAAUACGUAGAUAUUAGGAGGGAUAGCAGAAGCGAAGGCGACUUUCUGGACACAAACUGACGCUGAGGUACGAAAGCGUGGGGAGCAAACAGG
rnacentral:rRNA from 1 species